GACGAACGCUGGCGGCGUGCUUAACACAUGCAAGUCGAACGAAGUGGCGAACGGGUGAGUAAUACGUGGGUAACCUGCCCUCCUUUUUGGGAUAAACCUUGGAAACGGGGUCUAAUACCGAAUAAAGGGGGCUGGGCUCGCGGCCUAUCAGCUUGUUGGUGGGGUGAUGGCCUACCAAGGCGGUGACGGGUAGCCGGCCUGAGAGGGUGACCGGCCACAUUGGGACUGAGAUACGUCCCAGACUCCUACGGGAGGCAGCAGUGGGGGCUAGUGCACAAUGGGUGAAAGUCUGAUGCAGUGACGCCGCGUGGGGGCUGAAGGCUUUCGGGUUGUAAAGCUCUUGCGAUAUCGAAGGGGUAGGUGGAGAGGAAGCGCCGGCUAACUACGUGCCAGCAGCCGCGGUAAUAC
rnacentral:rRNA from 1 species